GUCCUCUCAGCGCUGCAGUAAACACAGCCACUCGUUCCAUUCGGACCGAAUGCAAUGAUUGGCUGGCUGACUGUCACUCUACCUCGCUGUCAUGGCUACCAGCUGUGCUGCCCCAGUGCGCGCACCCGGUCAGCUCUCUCAGACCUGGCGAGCGAAGCGGUCAGACCGGAGGCAAUAUCUGCUUGGCUUUUCAACGACAGUGACUGACAACUGAGGAACACCAAGGGGCUGAAAAGUUACAUCGUGGUGGCUUUAUAUUCUGCUGGACAGGUCACCUGCAGUCUUCCAACACCCUGUGCUUCUCACCGGUAUACGCUGAUUGGACCAUGCUGGUUGGCCUGGAUUACAACCACCAUGUCCACAGACCAGCCAGGAGAAAAGCUGAUGACACAAUUCAGUACAGCAAGGUGUACAACAAAAAGUCCAGGAAGUGGAGCUUGUACUCAUUGAAGGUGGAGAAGGACUACAGUUGCAUCGCAGACCUCCAGAGUGCCAUCCUCCUUCUCUUCCGGUUGUCUACUACAGAGGAGAUGCCCAGAAGCAGAACCAGGAGACCUGAUGAUCCCCGUCAACAUGGGGUUCAGUCAGGUGUCCCUGCCCCAACUGUGUUGCUAGAAAAAUAUAAAACAAAAAGUAAUAUGGUUGGUUUUGAAA